UUUCUCUGAUUUCGAUUGCUGGUUAUAAUGGAUACAAUCACAAAUCCAAAUCAAUAAACCCAGAUCAACAUGAUGAAACAUAUCAAUUCAAUUGCGGCGUUUCUAGAAGUGAUUAUCAUGUCGUUGCUGAUGAAUCUCAACCUCAGCCAAUCAACCGAUACUGCUUCCCACUUGACUUCGCUGCUUCUUCACAUGAGGAAAUCCUAGAAGCGAAAUCUCAACCUCAGGGUCAAAGCUGCCUCUUAAACAAGUCAAAAUUGUCUAAGAAAUUGGCUGCCUAUCAGUAUGGAGCAACAAGGGUGGAUACUGAUCUUGCUGGCUAACGGUUCUGGCAGCGAAAAGGAGAUCAAAAGGCCAUCGUAUGGCUUCAUUAUCGUACAUGGGAAAUCUGAGAUGAAUCUGAUUGAUGAACAAAAUCUCAGUUUACAGCAAUUUGUAGAAUCCUUAACCCUCUGUUUUCUUGAUGUGGACUGUCAAAAAAAAGUCACAAAUCCGGAUUGAGAAUAAAGUUCACGAUUACAUGAAGUCACAAGCCAAAUUCGAAGACAAGAUGUGGGCGAUUCUGAAUGUCUGGUUGAUUGAAGAUCAGUGGUUUAGAUGGCAGUGGAUGGAGAUGUUAUUAGGAAUCAGUGGAUCAUGGAUUCAUCAACAGUGGAUGAACAACAGAGGUUGUUAAUAAUAGUGGAUUAGCAGCAGAGGUGGUUAGCUAACAGGGGAUCAGCAACAGAGGUUGUUAGUUAACAGGGGUUAGCAACAGAGGUUGUAGAUGAUCAGUGGUUUAGAUGGCAGUAGGUAAAUGAUCAGAGGUUGGGUUAGCAACAGAGGUUGUAGAUGAUCAGUGGUUUAGAUGACAGUAGGUAAAUGAUCAGAGGUUGUGAGUGAUACGGGUAAAUGAUCAGUGGUUUAGAUGGCAGUGGAUGGAGAUGUUGUUAGGAAUCAGUGGAUCCAUCAACAGUGGAUGAACAACAGAGGUUGUUAAUAACAGUGGAUUAGCAGCAGAGGUGGUUAGCUAACCGUGGAUCAGCAACAGAGGUUGUUAGUUAACAGGGGUUAGCAACAGAGGAUCAGCAAGUUGAAGGUCUGAAAGUAGGAGAUGAAGUAUUUGGAAAUAUAAGCGAGAAAGCACUCGAUGGGCUGAAACUGUCGGACAUGUGUGUGCGCAGUUUGUGGUCCCAUACAACUACACGGAGUUCAUCCAUGGUUUAACUUAUCUAGUCAAGAACCGGUUCAUACCAAUGAGCCGUGUAAACGAUACGGUUAAGAGGAUUCUAAGGGUCAAGUUCACCAUGGGCCUGUUUGAGAAACUGUUGGCUGAUUAUAGCAUGGCUAAGUACCUUGGAAGCCAGGAACACAGAGAUCUGGCAAGGGAAGCUGUGAGGAAAACGCUUGUAUUAUUGAAAAACGGUAAAUCUUUAAAGACGCCACUGUUACCACUUCCUAAGCAGGCGUCGAAGAUACUGGUUGUAGGAUCUCAUGCUGAUAAUAUCGGCUAUCAAUGUGGUGGAUGGACAAUCGAGUGGCAAGGGCUUUGAGGAGAUAUUACUGAUGGCACAACAAUCUUAUCUGCUGUGAAAAAAAACCGUUGACCCAAAAACUCAAGUGAUCCUCAAUGAGAACCCGAGCGAUAGUUUUGUCAAGUCUAACAUAAAUUGACUACGCGAUUGUCGUGGUGGGUGAGCACCUGUACGCUGAGACAUUUGGAGACAGCAAGAAUUUGACAAUCCUAGAGCCUGGACCAAGCACGAUCAACAACGUCUGCGGCUCAGUGAAAUGUGUGGUGGUAAUGAUCAGUGGCCGGCCUGUACUGAUUCAACCUUAUCUUAAAACCAUAGAUGCUCUUGUGGCUGCUUGGCUUCCGAGAUCCGAGGGUCAAGGUGUCACGGAUAUCCUAUUUGGUGACUAUGGGUUUACGGGUAAGCUUGCGCGUACUUGGUUCAAGUCUGUUGAUCCCGAUGAAUGUUGGUGACGCACAUAUGAUCCGUUGUACCUGUUUGGAUUCGGGCUCACAACUAAGCCUAGGAAGAAUUAGUGAAGCUGAUGAGUGUGCUGGACGUUAAGUAUUUUUUUUUGUGGGAAUUUGAUCUAUGCACAUCAAUUUUUCAGCAACAACUCUUGUCUUAAUGUUGUGGGAAUAAAGUAAUUAAAUCAGUAGUUUUCCAUCGCAAUUAUUUUUUAUUAUAAGUCUGAGUUUUUAAUAGAUUUGAAAUCCAAUAUUAGUGAUAAAACUUAUCCACAAGGCCCAGUCCGAUGGCAAGGAUGACCCCUGCUGGUUCAAUUGAAGAUGAUGAUUAAAAAGGGGAAGGAAUGGAGGAGUUGAUUCCGUCUGAGACGUCAUGUAGAAGAAAAUCGAAUCGUUCUUAGGUUCCUCCGGCGAGUUCAAGGAAUUUGAUCAGCAAAUGAAAGAAGAGCGUCGUUCUUCAACUGAUCGGCUUUAUGGAAGCUUCGACGGAAAUGUGUUUGGAUCAUUUAGCAGUCUCGGAGAGGAUGUCGGUGAUUCUGAGUUUCAAUUUGUCUUUAGAUCUACCCUAAUUUCUUCAUUAUUCACAGAUAUGACACAAUUACCAGAUGAUAUGUUUAGUAAUCCACAAAACACGCAACCUUUUGGAUCUUUGGACGUCAUCAUGCCUUGGUAUUGUUGUGAUUACUGCGAGAUACUUACUUGACGCAUGAUUCUGUUAUACUGAUGGAAGUGCCACCGUAAUGUUAAUCAAUUGUUUCCACACUGCUACUAGUGCUGAAGCGACAAGGUAUAUAUA
rnacentral:lncRNA from 1 species